CCGGGGGGGGGCAGCAGUGGGGAAUAUUGGACAAUGGGCGAAAGCCUGAUCCAGCCAUGCCGCGUGUGUGAAGAAGGCCUUCGGGUUGUAAAGCACUUUCAGUGGGGAAGAAAGCCUUGGGGCUAAUACCCUCGAGGAAGGACAUCACCCACAGAAGAAGCACCGGCUAACUCCGUGCCAGCAGCCGCGGUAAUACGGAGGGUGCGAGCGUUAAUCGGAAUUACUGGGCGUAAGGCGCGCGUAGGCGGUCUGAUAAGCCGGUUGUGAAAGCCCCGGGCUCAACCUGGGAACGGCAUCCGGAACUGUCAGGCUAGAGUGCAGGAGAGGAAGGUAGAAUUCCCGGUGUAGCGGUGAAAUGCGUAGAGAUCGGGAGGAAUACCAGUGGCGAAGGCGGCCUUCUGGACUGACACUGACGCUGAGGUGCGAAAGCGUGGGUAGCAAACAGGAUUAGAUACCCUAGUAGUC
rnacentral:rRNA from 1 species